GACGAACGCUGGCGGCGUGCUUAACACAUGCAAGUCGAACGGCAGCACGGGGGCAACCCUGGUGGCGAGCGGCGAACGGGUGAGUAAUACAUCGGAACGUGCCCGGUAGUGGGGGAUAGCUCGGCGAAAGCCGGAUUAAUACCGCAUACGACCUACGGGUGAAGGCGGGGGAUCGCAAGACCUCGCGCCAUCGGAGCGGCCGAUGUCAGAUUAGGUUGUUGGUGGGGUAAAGGCCUACCAAGCCGACGAUCUGUAGCUGGUCUGAGAGGACGACCAGCCACACUGGGACUGAGACACCGGCCCAGACUCCGUACGGGAGGCAGCAGGUGGGGUAAUUUUGGACAAUGGGCGAAAGCCUGAUCCAGCCAUGCCGCGUG
rnacentral:rRNA from 1 species